UACGAAGGGGGCUAGCGUUGCUCGGAAUCACUGGGCGUAAAGCGCACGUAGGCGGUUUGUCGCGUCUGCUGUGAAAUUUCGGGGCUCAACCCCGAACUUGCAGUGGGUACGGGCAGACUAGAGUGUGGUAGGGGAGACUGGAAUUCCUGGUGUAGCGGUGAAAUGCGCAGAUAUCAGGAGGAACACCGGUGGCGAAGGCGGAUCUCUGGGCCAUUACUGACGCUGAGGAGCGAAAGCGUGGGGAGCGAACAGG
rnacentral:rRNA from 1 species